GAUGAAGAACGAAGCGAAAUGCGAUAAGUAGUGUGAAUUGCAGAAUUCAGUGAAUCAUCGAAUCUUUGAACGCACAUUGCGCCCCUUGGUAUCCCGAGGGGCAUGCCUGUUCGAGCGUCAUUUCACCACUCAAGCCUGGCUUGGUGUUGGGCGACGUCCCCUUUAGGGACGCGCCUCGAAACGCUCGGCGGCGUGGCACCGGCUUUAAGCGUAGCAGAAUCUUUCGCUUUGGAAGUCGGGGCCCCGCCUGCCGGAAUACCUACUCGUAAGGUUGACCUCGGAUCAGGCAGGGAUACCCGCUGAACUUAAGCAUAUCAAUAAGCGGAGGA
rnacentral:misc_RNA from 1 species